rnacentral:rRNA from 1 species
CACGUAGGGGGCGAGCGUUGUCCGGAUUUAUUGGGCGUAAAGGGCUCGUAGGCGGCUUAGUAAGUCGGGUGUGAAAACCCCAGGCUCAACCUGGGGACGCCACCCGAUACUGCUAUAGCUAGAGUCCAGUAGGGGAGUGUGGAAUUCCCAGUGUAGCGGUGAAAUGCGCAGAUAUUGGGAGGAACACCAGCGGCGAAGGCGGCACUCUGGGCUGGUACUGACGCUGAGGAGCGAAAGCGUGGGUAGCGAACAGG